UAGGAAGUAGUCUAGUGGAAGCACUGAGAGUUCUGAUCUCUUCAGGUAGGGUUCGAGUCCCUUCUUUCUAA
rnacentral:tRNA from 1 species